GACGAACGCUGGCGGCGUGCUUAACACAUGCAUGUCGAACGGAAAGGCCCUGCUUUUGUGGGGUGCUCGAGUGGCGAACGGGUGAGUAACACGUGAGUAACCUGCCCUUGACUUUGGGAUAACUUCAGGAAACUGGGGCUAAUACCGGAUAGGAGCUCCUGCUGCAUGGUGGGGGUUGGAAAGUUUCGGCGGUUGGGGAUGGACUCGCGGCUUAUCAGCUUGUUGGCGGGGUAGUGGCUUACCAAGGCUUUGACGGGUAGCCGGCCUGAGAGGGUGACCGGCCACAUUGGGACGGAGAUACGGCCCAGCCUCCUACGGGAGGCAGCAGUGGGGAAUAUUGCACAAUGGGCGGAAGCCUGAUGCAGCAACGCCGCGUGCGGGAUGACGGCCUUCGGGUUGUAAACCGCUUUCGCCUGUGACGAAGCGUGAGUGACGGUAAUGGGUAAAGAAGCACCGGCUAACUACGUG
rnacentral:rRNA from 1 species